rnacentral:rRNA from 1 species
GCGCAGCAGGCGAGAAACUUUACAAUGUGCGAAAGCACGAUAAGGGAACUCUGAGUGCCUCCUAAGGAGGCUGUUCAGGUGUCUAAAAGCACCUGAAGGAAGGGCUGGGUAAGACCGGUGCCAGCCGCCGCGGUAACACCGGCAGCCCAAGUGGUAGCCACGUUUAUUGGGUCUAAAGCGUCCGUAGCCGGCUGGGUAAGUUCCUUGGGAAAUUUGGCUGCUUAACAGUCAAGCUUUCAGGGAAUGCUGCUCGGCUUGGGACCGGGAGAGGUCAGAGGUACUCCAGGGGUAGGGGUGAAAUCCAUUAAUCCUUGGGGGACCACCGGUAGCGAAGGCGUCUGACCAGACCGGGUCCGACGGUGAGGGACGAA